AUCGCUAUAUAACCCUGCCCUUGAUUCCUUUCUUUUGCACCAUCUCACACUCAGUUAUUUUUAUUUUUUGAACGGGUAUUAUAUUAUCAUAUGUCCGUAAUUUGAAAACCUUCCCCAAAAUUAUCGUACUCAAUCAAUCCUCCGAAACCCUACGGUUAUGAAACUGGAACCUGAGUGUUAGAAGAUUCAAGAAGACGAUAGGAAGAACAUUCCAAAUCAAUGCAUCUAACGAUCCGAGUUUUCCGAUUUGAAUCUCAGUGUCGACAGUUGAGCUGUGCUUUGAAUCGUUAGCUCUCAGAUUUUUCAAACAAUCAGAACAAGUUAUUGUUAGUACUGGGUUUUCAAAGAAGUUUUUUUUUUUUUACCAAUGGUGAGAGAGGACGAGGGAAGUUGGGUGGAUGUCCCGACAAAAGCAAGGGCACGGCCGGCGACAACAAAGGAUAGAAGAGUAACAAAGGGAACAUUACAAAGUUCUACAUCACUAACCUCCCAGCAGGAUGCAAUCUUUGGGAUGUUACCAAGUUCGUGAAGGUGUUUGGGGAAGUGGCGGGUGUCUACAUCGCUAGGAAAAAGGAUAAGGAAAAUCUUUGGGAUGUUACCAAGUUCGUGAAGGUGUUUGGGGAAGUGGCGGGUGUCUACAUCGCUAGGAAAAAAGAUAAGGAAGGGAGGAAAUUCGGUUUCAUCAGUUUCAGCAGAUAUGUCAAAGAAUGAUAAGCUGGGAAGAUUGACAACCAAAUCCCUAUGCCAUGAAACCUGCUCCUCAUCCAUGACAAACCGAACCAAUCGCAACCUAAGUUUGCUAAGUGUCCCACAAGUAAAGAUACUUGCGGGCAUGUCAAGAUCAGGUACCUCAAGGUCAAGCUCCCUAACAUGACGACAUAUGGCAUCGUCGAUCCAUGAAGUGAUCGGGACCAGACUUGGGAGGCGGAAAUGCAAACAAAAAACGGUCUAAACACUCUCCUUCAAGGGCUCCCAUCAAUUGAUCACAGAACAUUAAAAGCCUCUCUACACGAUUAAAAAGAGCUUUGUCGUCAAGAUAAAUUCCCCUCAGAUAUUUCCAACUGUGCUCCCAAUCCACUGAGAGAACACAUGUCUGCACUACACACAAUGUAGGAAGGAAGGACAAGAUUUCCGACCUCAUGUCAAGAGGAAGAGAGCUGAGUAGAGCACAAGGAUCCAGUCAAGCAAGCCCAGGAAUUCAAGAUAUACAACCAUGCAUACGUCAAUCAAGGUGGGGGUAAGUCGUUCAGUGAUUUAUUCUCUAAACCAUCAGGAGUUGCAGGAGGUAUGACUCAACCGGAAAUGGAGGUAGGUUUCUCCUCUCUCUCCCUAGAGUUAGUUUCAACCUUUUUCUUAAUGUUUAUCGAGUCACUCGAUCUUACUUUACUUUAUGCAAAUUAAGUGUUAAUGUAGACUGAAACAUGAUUCAGUCUCAGGAAUGGCAGACCCAAGGCCCUCCGAUCUACUCAGCUCUCUUCCUCUUGACAUGAGGUCGGAAAUCUUGUCCUUUCUUCCUCCAUUGUGUGCAGUGCAGACGUGUUCUCUCAGUGGAUUGGGAGCACAGUUGGAAAUAUUUGAGGGGAAUUUAUCUUGACGACAAAGCUCCUUUUAAUCGUGUAGAGAGGCUUUUAAUGUUCCGUGAUCAAUUGAUGGGAGCCCUUGAAGGAGAAUGUUUAGACCGUUUUUGCUUGCAUUUUCGCCUCCAAAGUCUGGUCCUGAUCACUACAUGGAUCGACGAUGUUAUAUGUUGUCAUGUUAGGGAGCUUGACCUUGAGGUACCUGAUCUUGACAUGCCCGCAAGUUUCUUUACUUGUGGGACACUUAGCAAACUUAGGUUGCAAUUAAUUCGGUUUGUCAUGGAUGAGGAGCAGGUUUCAUGGCAUAGGGAUUUGGUUGUCAAUUUUCCCAGCUUAUCAUUCUUUGACACAUUUGCUCAUCAGAUUGUUGCUGCCAAUGUGAUCCGGAUUAUUCAAGGCUCUCCAUCACUAAAAUCCGUGAAAUUAUCCGGUUGUUGCUUUUUACCAUUAGUUGCACCAAUGCCGAAGUUCUUAAAUGUAAACACUCUGGCUUUUGUUAAUACUAUUGUUCAUGGCUAGAGAACUAUCUUCCACGUGCUAGAUAAUUGCCCGUCAUUGAAGCAUCUUUCAGUUGGGAAGUUUCGUGUUGUAACUUUAGAACCAUACAUUUUAUUUUAUGACUUCUAACAUUGUUUUAUCUUGUCUUCGUUAUCUUGUCUUCGUUUAAUAACAGUUAGAGGAGUCUGAUUGGGCAAGACCCAAACCACCAAGUUGCAUGAUCGUAAGUUUAAAGACAUAUUUCAGUAGGUGUGAUGGGCCAGAGUUCAAGUUUCUCAUAUAUGUAUUGCCGAAUGCUAUAAAGUUGAAGAAACUAAAAGUAAGAUGCACCUACUAUAUGCCACCACCGAAGAUGUUGAUGAUGCGCACACAACUACAGAAUCUUAUAAGUCUUAAUCAUGGAUGUCAAAUCCUUCCUACGGGAAACAAGGUGAUGAGGUAAUAAUGUAAGGAGGACUGGGUUUGAAUUUGGUUGGAUUUUGCUGACGUUGACUUUGAUUUCUGAUGAUUUUGACUUGUUUGCCACUUGCAAAACAAUGUACUUUUGAAGAACCGAAAAGUCUUUAGGUAAUUGUUUCUUUUGUUCCUUAAGUUUGUAAUUUUUGAUGAUUCUGACUUGUUUGCCACUGGCAAAACAGUGUACUUUUG